GGGGUCCGGGGGGUCCGGGGAGGAGGAAGGCGGACCCAGUAGGAUGGGGAAGGAGCAGGAGUUGCUGGAGGCGGCCCGCACCGGGCACCUCCCGGCGGUGGAGAAGCUGCUGUCCGGGAAGCGGCUCUCUUCGGGCUUCGGCGGUGGCGGCGGCGGCUCUGGCGGCGGCUCCGGGGGCGGCUCCGGAGGCGGCGGCGGCGGUGGCGGCCUGGGCUCCUCCAGUCACCCCCUCUCCAGUCUCCUCAGCAUCUGGAGAGGACCCAACGUGAAUUGUGUUGAUAGCACUGGCUAUACCCCUCUGCAUCAUGCAGCUCUGAAUGGACACAAGGACGUGGUGGAAGUUCUUCUGAGGAAUGAUGCAUUGACCAAUGUGGCUGACUGUAAAGGCUGUUACCCUCUUCACCUGGCUGCCUGGAAGGGGGAUGCUCAGAUAGUUCGAUUACUCAUCCACCAAGGACCCUCCCAUACCAAAGUCAAUGAACAGAAUGCUCUUGAGAUCAAAGAACUCAAAAAGUACGGCCCCUUUGACCCUUAUAUCAAUGCAAAGAACAAUGACAAUGAGACAGCCCUCCACUGUGCAGCUCAAUAUGGCCACACAGAGGUGGUGAAGGUUCUCUUGGAGGAAUUAACUGAUCCUACCAUGCGCAAUAACAAGUUUGAGACACCGCUGGACCUGGCUGCACUCUAUGGGAGGCUGGAGGUGGUGAAGAUGCUGCUUAAUGCUCAUCCCAAUCUCUUAAGCUGCAAUACUAAGAAACACACUCCUCUGCACUUGGCUGCACGAAAUGGCCACAAAGCUGUGGUCCGUGUCCUUCUGGAUGCUGGGAUGGAUAGCAACUACCAGACGGAGAAGGGCAGUGCUUUGCAUGAGGCUGCUUUGUUUGGCAAGACAGAUGUGGUUCAAAUCCUGCUGGCUGCAGGAAUUGAUGUGAACAUAAAAGAUAAUCGGGGGCUAACUGCACUAGACACUGUGCGAGAGCUUCCUUCCCAGAAGAGUCAGCAGAUAGCAGCAUUUAUUGAAGAACACAUGACUGGGAAAGGAAGUACAAAAGGAGGAGACAAACCUAUCAGAGCCCAGCCACCAUUCAUCCCUAAUGUGGACUCAGCAUCUCUGAAGUCUCAAGGUGAUGUGGAGAAAGCAGUAAAUGAGCUGAUCAUUGAUUUUGACAUGAACUCACAGGAGGAAGGUCCCUACGAAGCUCUGUAUAAUGCCAUUUCCUGCCACUCAUUAGAUAGCAUGACCAGUGGAAAGUCUUCUGACAGAGAAUCUGUGACCAAGGAGGCAGAAGCAACCAUUGUGAAAGCAUCUUCAGUGAGGCCGAGAGAACGUCCACCCCCUCCAGCAAAACCACCACCAGAGGAAGAGGAAGAGGAAGACACUGAAAUGGAACUUUGUCCCCAUAUAUCCUCUGAGGUUCAAGUCAUGAGAAGUAGGAGCCAGGGCAGCGCACCCAAGGAGGAUGAUGAGCAUCCUUAUGAGCUGUUGCUAACAGCAGAAACUAAGAAGCUAGUGCCAUUGGAGGGAAAAGCAAAAGACCAGGGGAGGAGCAGCAGCAGCCGGAGCCAGGACUCUGCAGAGGGACUAGACGGGCAGGUCCCAGAGCAGUUUUCAGGUCUUCUACACGGCUCUUCUCCAGUGUGUGAAAUCAGUGAGGACCCUUUCCAGCUUCUUUCCACUGUGAGCCAGGGUGCUUCCGAAGGGUCGUCCAGGCAGGGCACAAGUCACGAAGCUGCUAUGCAGCUGGAGGAUGCUGCUUUGCACACUCCUGGAUCUACCCGGCCCAGCCUUCCUGACCAAAAUAAGAAACUGGGUUAUUCAGCUGGCCUGCCUACCAACCCCAGCCAAUCGGACCCUGAAACUUUGAUGCAUGAGAUAUCUCAGCACCCUGGUGGUGCCGAAGAAGCAGGAGACUGGAGUGGGACCAGGAGCUGGGCCCCUCCCACUAGCAGACCAAAAGCCGAACUUAAACUCAGCCGCAGUUUGUCCAAGUCAGACUCUGAUCUCCUGACCUGCUCACCAACAGAAGAUACCACAAUGGGGAGUAGGAGCGAGUCCUUGUCCAACUGUAGCAUUGGGAAGAAGCGGCUGGAAAAGUCUCCUUCCUUUGCCUCAGAGUGGGAUGAGAUUGAAAAGAUCAUGAGUUCAAUCGGGGAAGGCAUAGACUUUUCUCAGGAACAGCAGAAGAUCUCAGGUUCACGGAUGUUGGAGCAGAGUGUUGGGGAGUGGCUGGAGUCAGUUGGUUUGCAGCAGUACGAAAGCAAGUUGCUUCUGAAUGGCUUUGAUGAUGUUCGCUUCUUGGGCAGUAACGUGAUGGAAGACCAGGAUCUCCGGGACAUUGGGAUCAGCGAACCCCAGCACCGGCGGAAGCUUCUCCAGGCUGCAAGGUCUUUGCCUAAGGUAAAACCUCUGGGCUGUGAUGGAAAUCCCCAGCCAUCUGUCCCGUCCUGGCUUGACUCUCUGGGACUGCAGGACUAUAUCCAGUCUUUCCUGUCGAGUGGCUACAGUUCUAUCGACACUGUGAAAAACCUCUGGGAGCUGGAGCUAGUUAAUGUGCUAAAGGUUCACCUGCUUGGCCACCGGAAGCGGAUCAUCGCCUCUCUUGCAGAUCGGCCCUAUGAGGAGCCUCCCCAGAAGCCCCCUCGCUUCUCCCAGCUUCGAUGCCAAGAUCUGCUUUCCCAAACAUCCUCUCCCCUGAGCCAGAAUGAGUCUUGCACCGGGAGGUCAGCAGACCUACUACUGCCCUCAGGGGAUACCGGCAAGAGGCGACAGGACAGCUGCCGUGACCCAGCUGCCCAUGGCCGAGCUGAGCGUUUUCAGACACAGGAAGAUCCCCGGGAGGCCAAACUGACCCUGCGCCCUCCCAGCCUGGCUGCUCCUUAUGCCCCUGUGCAGAGCUGGCAGCACCAGCCCGAGAAGCUCAUCUUCGAAUCUUGUGGUUAUGAAGCCAAUUACUUGGGCUCUAUGCUGAUUAAAGAUCUUCGUGGGACAGAGUCCACACAAGAUGCCUGUGCCAAGAUGCGGAAAUCAACGGAGCAGAUGAAGAAGAUUCCAACCAUAAUUCUUUCCAUCACCUACAAAGGAGUUAAAUUCAUUGAUGCCUCUAAUAAGAACAUCAUUGCAGAGCAUGAGAUUCGGAACAUCUCCUGCGCUGCCCAGGACCCCGAGGACCUCUGCACCUUCGCCUACAUCACCAAGGACCUGCAGACGAGCCACCACUAUUGCCAUGUGUUCAGCACUGUGGAUGUGAAUCUGACCUAUGAGAUCAUCCUGACGCUGGGACAGGCAUUUGAGGUGGCCUAUCAGCUGGCCCUGCAGGCCCAGAAAGCCAAGCCAGGUGGGGCCUCAGCAGCUGAGAUGAUAGAAACAAAAGCUUCCAAACCGGUGCCUAAGCCUCGAGUUGGCAUGAGGAAAUCUGCAUUGGAACCAUCUGACAUGGACCAAGAUACCCAGUCUCAUGCCAGUGUCUCCUGGGUAGUGGACCCAAAACCGGAUUCCAAAAGGAGCCUCAGCACUAAGUAUGAGACCACUAUCUUCUAAAACCAACCCAGCCCCUGUCUCCACUAGUCUCACUGUGCCUUUACCAUCUGAUCUGUCUGCUGUUUUCAGCUCUCUCCUUCCAGCUGCUGAUGCUGAGCCACUGGGAAACCAAACUGCUGCGGAAAAAUAGUCCUGGGGGGCAACAGACUGCUGCCGCCACUGCCUCACCCGCCAUCAUGAAGAUCCAGGCUCAGCCUCUGCUUUGGGGAUCGCCUUCCUGCUGCUCAGCAAGGCUUUCCACAGCCAAGCCUCGAAAAUAGCUCCCCUAUCCCCAUCCCUCUCUGCCCCUGCCUGGAGAGCAGCACCUCAGGGUCUCUCUGUAGCAGAUGAGAUUGGGAUUCCAGGGGCCAAGAAAUGACGCUGGGUUUUUUAGCUUGUCCAGAAAAAAACUUUUUUUUAAUAGAAAAAAUGACUACCCGUGGCCUGGGCCCAUAGGAAGACUGCCAAUCUUCAGCCAGAAAAUCAUGGGGAUGAAGAUCUUUGGGAAACUAGAACUGGCACAAAACAAUACAAAAAGAACAAUCCUUCUAGGCCUCCUUUCCUCAGAAUGAGACCUUGGAAUAGCAUAGCAGGUUUGAAAGGAAAGCAGUUGCUUAUGGGAGAUGGGUGAGUAUAAGAGAGCGAAACCAACAGUAAGGCUAAUAUUAAGAUAGCUUGUUGGAUUCAGAUGUUCAGAGCCAGCUCAGCUCCUGUGUUCUGUCAAAGUGCACAACUCCCCUUAGAACAGGACCAAGAACCUCGCUGAUAUAAAGUAAUAACAACAGCACCACAACCCUGGAGACCCCUGAAAAGCAGCAGCUCUUAAGCCUUUGCUAGGAUUUGAGAUGUGAAGAGAUGAUGGUCGUUUCCAUACGCUACUGUCCAUAGUGAAUUCCUAGAGCUUUGUUCCACUCUGUGCUCCCACCACCUUGUGGUGACUAAGGGUUUGGGUUGUUUUUUUGUCCACCAGCUCUCCAGUAGCUCGAUAUUUUCUAAGUUCCAAAGGAAAAGAGAAAAAGAACCUUAGUAACAGACCAGCUGAGGCUGAGACCCAGUGACUUGAGAUUGGUCUGAGCAGAUCUUUGCAGUUAGGUGUCACUGUUAACUCUCCCACUGCUUGAAUCCCUUUGUUCAUCCCUGGCUCCAAAUAUAUAGGAAAGGGCUUCAAAGCUGGUAGCUGACUUGCUUUUUAACCAGGCAGACAGUGCCUAUUAUCUGUACCAGGUUGACUCACCAGAGCACUGCUAUAUCUCACAACUCCCUAAUUUACUUCUCCUUUCACCUCAGUUUUGUUUCUGGAUUUAAAACAGGGGCUUCUUCCAUUCCAGAGAGAAGGGUCAAGCCCUCAUGGCCUAUACCUAUAUACCUAUAGGGAGCAAAAAGGACUAGGCCUUCCCGUGUGUGCUUUAGCAGACCUAGUAUUCUCAUGGUGCAGUUUAUUCCUGUCCAAGUGCAAAUAUUCCAGGCCUUGGCAACACUGCUCUUUCCCAAUGAAAGGUGUCGAUUGGAAUUAUAUGUUUAUGUGUAUGCAGGGAGGGUCCUUUUGGAAACGCACAAAUUAUGGAUGGCCAGAUGUUGCAGGUGGUGGAUUUGUAUCUUUAGCUGAUUUGGAGCUUGGCCUUGUGGACUUCCUCUCUGUUUAUUCAUCAUAGACUACCGCAAUUCUUUAUCCAACCCUGAGAGCAGUUAAUCCUGGUCAUUUUAGCCCCAGCAGAGGGACUGAGCUCAGUGCUCCUCUUGAAAAAUGGGGUUAGCCUCAGCUUCUUUGAGCUAGAGAAGGACCAUGGUUCUUCUGGGCCUGAUAAGGAUUCCUAGCAACUUGCCUUUGUGCAGUAUUCAGCCUCUAUUUUCCCAGAAAAUUUCCAAGCAAAAUUAAGAUUUCUUCAAUAACAUUGUGCUGUUCCUGCCAUGGUGCUGGAUCCUUAUGUCCUAGGCUCAGUAGCAGCAUUUCUCCAUCUUCCAGAGCUUCACUUUCUUCCUUCUUUCAAGGAAGGUUGUUUCCUUUCCAAGUAGGUAUCUGUGAGUAGAUGGUAGGUCCAAAAAGAAAAUUCUGUGUAGACACUAAGAUGAAUUUCUCAAGUUUUUUUUAAAAAAUCACAUUUAGGUGUUUUUAUUUUUCUUAAAGCUGCUAUGUCCUCUUUAUUUAUUCAGGGUGUUUUCAGAUUGGGAAAUUGGCUGGUCAGCUCUGAUUCUGAGUUAUGUUUUUAGAUUGGUAUAUUUUUGGACAUUGGAGAAAGGAAAGUGACUGAAUUUUUUUUUAUUAAUGGGGGUCAGGUACUCUCCCUUCCCUAGAAAGGGAUAUUGCAACUUUAAGAACAGGCUUUGAGUGGGAAAGCCACUGCUAUCAUACUGUUCUCAGUGCAGGCCGUGUAGCAUGGUUGAACACGUCCACUGUGUUUCUGAACUGUGAAGGAGCCCAUUUAGGUGUGAAACUGCAGCUUUCUUGGAAUGGGUUCAGUUACAUUAAGCUGUCUUCAGUUCCCAGCUCUCUGCUUGAAUUUCCCCAUGUGCUUGCUAACUGUUCUUAGGCAAUAGGAUUCUUCUUCCUAACAAGGCUCUACAUUUGCAACUCUCCAGGUCUCUGGUGGGCCCUCUAGUACUAAAGAUCAGGGGUAGUUUCUCAGAGACAGGCUGGAACAGCAAAGCAAGCACAUUUAUGGUUUGUGAAACUUAAUCCGAGUUUAGUCUGGCUUGAAGGCUCAUCUGAUAUUGCCCAGACUUGCAGAAUGACUGUCAAAUUCAGUUUGCAAAAGGGUGAUUUUGCUAAUUGUGGUGUGUGGCAAUGGGACUGAUUUGUAAUAAAAAUGUUAUUUAAUCUUUGUCUCUGUAUUUUGAUACUUGAAUGAUUUCCCUUUUUAUUUUCCUGUAUAUAUAAUUGUUAAUCUGUCCAAUUUUGUCAGAAUUAUAAACACCUUGUGGUACCAAACAUAACCAAGCUGUGCAACAAAAUAGACUGACCUCACUACACAGAGAGAUUGUAAAUAUUUCUGGGCUUCCAGCGUUGGUUUUGUUAUUUUCAUAACUGUACAACUUAGAACAGACUGAAUAAAUGAGAAGUGACUUA